AUUGAACGCUGGCGGCAUGCCUUACACAUGCAAGUCGAACGGUAACAGGUCUUCGGAUGCUGACGAGUGGCGAACGGGUGAGUAAUACAUCGGAACGUGCCCGAGAGUGGGGGAUAACGAAGCGAAAGCUUUGCUAAUACCGCAUACGAUCUCAGGAUGAAAGCAGGGGACCGCAAGGCCUUGCGCUCACGGAGCGGCCGAUGGCAGAUUAGGUAGUUGGUGGGAUAAAAGCUUACCAAGCCGACGAUCUGUAGCUGGUCUGAGAGGACGACCAGCCACACUGGGACUGAGACACGGCCCAGACUCCUACGGGAGGCAGCAGUGGGGAAUUUGGACAAUGGGCGCAAGCCUGAUCCAGCCAUGCCGCGUGCAGGAUGAAGGCCUUCGGGUGUAAACUGCUUUGUACGGAACGAAAAGACUCUGGUUAAUACCUGGGUCCAUGACGGUACCGUAAGAAUAAGCACCGGCUAACUACGUGCCAGCACG
rnacentral:rRNA from 1 species